GACGAACGCUGGCGGCGUGCUUAACACAUGCAAGUCGAACGGAAAGGCCCUGCUUUUGUGGGGUGCUCGAGUGGCGAACGGGUGAGUAACACGUGAGUAACCUGCCCUUGACUUUGGGAUAACUUCAGGAAACUGGGGCUAAUACCGGAUAGGAGCUCCUGCUGCAUGGGGGGGGUUGGAAAGUUUCGGCGGUUGGGGAUGGACUCGCGGCUUAUCAGCUUGUUGGUGGGGUAGUGGCUUACCAAGGCUUUGACGGGUAGCCGGCCUGAGAGGGUGACCGGCCACAUUGGGACUGAGAUACGGCCCAGACUCCUACGGGAGGCAGCAGUGGGGAAUAUUGCACAAUGGGCGGAAGCCUGAUGCAGCAACGCCGCGUGCGGGAUGACGGCCUUCGGGUUGUAAACCGCUUUCGCCUGGGACGAAGCGUGAGUGACGGUAAUGGGUAAAGAAGCACCGGCUAACUACGUG
rnacentral:rRNA from 1 species